rnacentral:rRNA from 1 species
GAUGAACGCUAGCGACAGGCCUAACACAUGCAAGUCGAGGGGCAGCACGAGGUAGCAAUACUGAGGUGGCGACCGGCGCACGGGUGAGUAACACGUAUGCAACCUGCCUGUAAGAGGGGAAUAACCCGGAGAAAUUCGGACUAAUACCGCAUAAUACCAAUAUUCUGCAUGGGAUUUUGGUUAAACAUUUAUGGCUUACAGAUGGGCAUGCGUAUGAUUAGCUAGUUGGUGAGGUAACGGCUCACCAAGGCAACGAUCAUUAGGGGUUCUGAGAGGAAGGUCCCCCACACUGGUACUGAGACACGGACCAGACUCCUACGGGAGGCAGCAGUGAGGAAUAUUGGUCAAUGGGCGAGAGCCUGAACCAGCCAAGUCGCGUGAAGGAAGACUGCCCUAUGGGUUGUAAACUUCUUUUGUAAGGGAAUAAAAGACGGCACGUGUGCUGUAUUGUAUGUACUUUACGAAUAAGGAUCGGCUAACUCCGUGCCAGCAGCCGCGGUAAUACGGAGGAUCCGAGCGUUAUCCGGAUUUAUUGGGUUUAAAGGGUGCGUAGGCGGGAGAUUAAGUCAGUGGUGAAAGUUUGCAGCUCAACUGUAAAAUUGCCAUUGAAACUGAUUUUCUUGAGUGUAAAUAAAGUAGGCGGAAUGUGUUGUGUAGCGGUGUAAUGCUUAGAUAUAACACAGAACACCAAUUGCGAAAGGCAGCUUACUGGGAUACAACUGACGCUGAGGCACGAAAGCGUGGGGAUCAAACAGGAUUAGAUACCCUGGUAGUCCACGCAGUAAACGAUGAAUACUAACUGUAUGCGAUAUACUGUAUGCGGUACAGCGAAAGCGUUAAGUAUUCCACCUGGGGAGUACGUUCGCAAGAAUGAAACUCAAAGGAAUUGACGGGGGCCCGCACAAGCGGAGGAACAUGUGGUUUAAUUCGAUGAUACGCGAGGAACCUUACCCGGGCUUGAAAUGCAGAAGACCGACGAAGAAAUUCGUUUUCCAGCAAUGGCUUCUGUGUAGGUGCUGCAUGGUUGUCGUCAGCUCGUGCCGUGAGGUGUCGGCUUAAGUGCCAUAACGAGCGCAACCCCUAUCAUUAGUUACUAACAGGUUACGCUGAGGACUCUAAUGAGACUGCCACCGUAAGGUGUGAGGAAGGUGGGGAUGACGUCAAAUCAGCACGGCCCUUACGUCCGGGGCGACACACGUGUUACAAUGGGGGGUACAGAGGGUUGCUACUGCGCGAGCAGAUGCUAAUCUCUUAAAGCCUCUCUCAGUUCGGAUCGGAGUCUGCAACUCGACUCCGUGAAGCUGGAUUCGCUAGUAAUCGCGCAUCAGCCAUGGCGCGGUGAAUACGUUCCCGGGCCUUGUACACACCGCCCGUCAAGCCAUGGAAGCCGGGGGGACCUGAAGUACGUAACCGCAAGGAGCGUCCUAGGGUAAAACUGGUAACUGGGGC